rnacentral:lncRNA from 1 species
GGAACCGGGGCUUUGUGCCCUCUUCGGCUUGGGGAGCAGCCGCAGCCCAGCCCUGCCCUGCCCUCAUACCGCCGCAGCACCAAACCUGUGGUGAGCGCUCACCUUGCCGCCAAGUGAGGCACAAGGGAGGGAAAGAUCUGUACAAAUUGCUGUUAAACCACAAAGCACAGGCAUAAGGGUCAUGCCUGACUGGACAUAAGGAGCUCAUUACAAAGUAGCAUUCUGUCUUCACAACUGUUUCUUUACUGGUAACCCCUUCCCUGAAUUUCGGAAGGACUUGCUGGAUUCCUCCCCGAGGCCUACGUGAGGAUUUCCAGAAGAGGAACAACGCAGGAAAGCAAACAGAAGUGUGAGGCAUGUGCACGUGGGAAGAAUCAUGUACAUUAAAGCUUCCUCAGGAAUAUUAACUGAUUUAAUUUAGUGUCCUGAUUUCACCUGGGAUAGAGUUUUCACCAAGCAUUGAAGACCAUCUUCAAAUACUGUCUAUGCAGGGCAGUAAACAGACAUUGCAGCUCCUUGGAUGGAAUUAAAGGAGUGAAGUCAGUUAAGUGACAUUAUAAUCAGGAUUCUGAGAUUACUUCUUUACAUGCAUUCACUUUUGUACUCUAUCAACUUGUUUUCAUUGUGAGUUUUGAAUGAACAGACAUGAAGGAGGAUUUUCUUCUUAAAAGAAGUGGAAAUCUGUUGGCUACUUCUGUUGGCAAGUCACAGGACAAAGCAGAGUGCCUGGGUAUCACGGUACUUUCACACCUUCUGUCUUCUGAACAUCUCAGUAAAAGCUCCGGGAAAUCUAAUUGAAUAUAAGAACAUCUUGAAUGGAUUACCAAAUGUAGCAUCCUCUCGCUAACAUUGAACUCCUGUCAAGUGCACCCAUUGGAAACAAUAAGAUAAACCACCUCUGUCAUUUACUUCCAAUGUAGGAAGUCUUAACUGUGUUCUCCGUUCAUUAGCACCCCUGGCUUUCAGAGCAGCCAUCCGCAGAGCUGCUGCAGGAUUCACCGACAGCAAGCCUGUGAAACCUAAUUUUGAUUCAUGAGCUGAAAUCUCUCUAGCACAGCCCUUGUGGAGCUUGAAGUUUAGCUGUCUUUUAC